GACGAGGGGUCCUAGCGUUGUUCGGAAUCACUGGGCGUAAAGCGUAUGUAGGCGGCUUUCUAAGCCGGUUGUGAACUCCCAUGGCUUAACCAUGGAAUUGCAUUCGAAACUGGAGAGCGUUGAGUGUGGGAGAGAUUGGUAGAAUACCUGGUGUAGUGGUGAAAUACGUAGAUAUCAGGUGGAAUACCGGUGGCGAAGGCGC
rnacentral:rRNA from 1 species